rnacentral:rRNA from 1 species
UACGGGGGGAGCAAGCGUUGUUCGGAUUUACUGGGCGUAAAGGGCGCGUAGGCGGCCAGCACAAGUCAGUUGUGAAAUCUCCGGGCUUAACUCGGAAAGGUCAACUGAUACUGUGCGGCUAGAGUGCAGAAGGGGCAACUGGAAUUCUCGGUGUAGCGGUGAAAUGCGUAGAUAUCGAGAGGAACACCUGCGGCGAAGGCGGGUUGCUGGGCUGACACUGACGCUGAUGCGCGAAAGUCAGGGGAGCGAACGGG